rnacentral:rRNA from 1 species
GACGAACGCUGGCGGCGUGCUUAACACAUGCAAGUCGAACGGGCCCGCUCUCUUUUUUGGGGGUGGGUUGAGUGGCGAACGGGUGAGUAUCACGUGAGUAACCUGCCCCCUGCUCCUGGAUAACUGCUUGAAAGGGCGGCUAAUACGGGGUGUGCCGGCUGGUCCGCAUGGGCCUGGUCGGGAUAGUUUCAUCUUCGGGUGUUUCGGUGGGGGAUGGGCUCGCGGCCUAUCAGCUUGUUGGUGGGGUGAUGGCCCACCAAGGCGGUGACGGGUAGCCGGCCUGAGAGGGUGGGCGGCCACACUGGGACUGAGACACGGCCCAGACUCCUGCGGGAGGCAGCAGUGGGGGGUAUUGCACAAUGGACGGAAGCCUGAUGCAGCGACGGCGCGUGAGGGAUGGAGGCCUUCGGGUUGUGAACCUCUUUCUCCGGUGGUGAAGGCCCUGUCCGUUGCGGCGGGGUUGACGGUAGCCGGGUAUGAAGCGCCGGCUAACUACGUG